UCCUCCUCUCUCCCCUGGUCUCCCUGUGUGUGAGCCUGGUCAGCCUGUUGCAAAGCAUUACUGGGAUUGGGAGUCUCUCGCGUCUCACCAGUGUCUGCCCUGCAUCAUGUCUCCUGACUGAGCUGCAAGAGGAGCCCCCCUCCUCACCUUCCUUCUCCCCCCAGAAAUUCCAAUCUCCUUGUCUGCAGCUUGUAACGGAGGCAUCUUAUGGACCAUCUGAUUUCCUACAUGAAUAGUGAAUACCGACUAAAGACACUGUCUGACCAGGGAGAAUACAUUUCUUUAGAGGUUCCCCAUUCUUCAGAGAAACCACCAUAAAGGCAGCCCCAGCCCCUUGAUGGACCACACUGCAGCACCCCUGGAUGGACCACACUGCAACACCCCUGGAUGGACAACACAGCACAGGUGGUUGGACACAGCAUGGAGAGUGUACCUCUAAGCAGCCCCAGCCCCUUGAUGGACCACACUGCAGCACCCCUGGAUGGACAACACUGCAGCAUCCUUGGAUGAACAAUACAGUAUGGAGAGAGCUACCCUAAGCAGCCACAGUCCCUUGAUGGACAACACUGCAGCACCCCUCGAUGGACAACACAGCACCUCUGGACAGACUCAGCAUGGACACAUCUGCAAUAUGCAAGCUCCACAACCGGAGUGAAAUGGCACCAAUCAUCGGGGGAACCUUAUAUACUGUAGAAUCCAAAACCUGCGAGAAUCCGACAGCGGGAGGAUGAUGUUUUGCCUCAUUUUUGGGUCCGAGUCAAAACCCCAUUCCAGCUGAAAUCGUGCAGUUCGGGUGUGUUCGACUCUCGGAGAACCGGACCCGCUCAUCUCUAAUCAAUACAUUUCACCCUCAUCAAGUUUUAUUAAGAAUGUUUGACCCACUGCUUUUGAUAUCUGCUACAUUGACCUUGUCUAGAUACCCUGCCUUGUCACUGUGGUCCCCAGAAAUACUGAUGCAACCAGAAGACUGUUUGUGAUUCCACACUCUUACAGGCAUCAGAAUAGAAACUGAAGAGUCCUGAUUACAAAACUGAGCACACAGUGACAGCUGAAAGACGCACAGGGGCCAUGCAGCACACAAUUGUUUAAAUAUUAAACUCACUACAAUGUGAUGUAGAUAAUUAAUGAUAAUUUAAACAGGGGUUUUCCCUAGCACACCAAGGGGUAUCAGUAACAAGACUUGAACACUAUAUUGUAAUAGAAAAUUCAGAGAUCUCAGUUACAUUCAUACAGUAUAUUUGCAAAUAUAUAGUUAAGCCUCAAAGCCAAUGGCAAGGCUUCUCUGAUAUUGGACGUCCUUAAUCCUAAAUUUAAGUCCGGGGCACAGAAACCCACCAAGCUGGUGAAGGCGAGCUACCCCAGGGCAGCAAACUAGUGAAAGGCUAAAGUGUUAAUAGUGUUAAUAGGAAGUGUUAAUAGUUAGAAGCAAAAGCUAUGUAUUAAAAAGUGAUACACAGGUGAAAGGUGUUAAAUAAAAUGCUAAAAAGAGUAGUAUUAGUAGAAAAAUUAUUUCAAAGUGCUAAAUAAAAUGUUAUAGUGUGCCACCCCAAAACAGCCUGGCCACACCAAACUAGGAGGCGUCAUACCCCAAACUCAUCCCUAAAAUGAUAACAGCACCCAGUCUGGGUCAUGUAAUUGCCUAAUGUAAGGCUACAUGAUAAUGGCUCAUACUAAAAUAUAUCUACAAUGAGAGUCAGAUCACCUGGAGAAACCCCAUGAUCCUCCAAAAGGCACUACAGGAACCAGCAUGCUCUCCAAAUGCUGGUACCAUCUGUGCCUCUCUGAACUGCAAUAUAGAAUGGUAGCUGCUCAAUCAAUCCAGUAAUACCUCCCUGGUGCUGUAAGAGAGGGGUAAUUCUUAGGGGUUUUCCCCGGCACACCAAGAGGUAUCAAUAACAAAACCUGUACACUAUAGGGUAAUAAUUCAGACCCGAUCGCUGCUACGGCAAGUUAGUAUAGAGUUUUAUACAUUUUACACUCCACUUGCUAUCAGGAGCAGGAUAGGAGGGACAUGGGUAAUUGCCUCUGCUAUAAAGUGGGUCAGGGCUCAUUUGUGUAUUAUUGGCUACUGGGUGACCUGCUGAUGUGUUUGAAUUGAUCUUGAAAAAGGUUCUUUGAGAACCGAUACGUCGAUCUGCUGUCAUGGAUUGUGACCUAUUUGCUGCUAUGUGGCUUCAGGACAACUCUGUGACUGUCCUUGAGUGGCCCAGCCAGAGCCCAGACUUGAAUCCGAUUGAACAUCUCUGGAGAGAUCUGAAAAUGGCUGUGCACCGACGCUUCCCAUCCAGCCUGAUGUAGCUUGAGAGGUGCUGCAAAGAGGAAUGGAGAAACUGCGCAAAGAUAGGUGUUCCAAGCUUGUGGCAUCAUAUUCAAAAAUACUUGAGGCUGUAAUUGCUGCCAAAGGUGCAUCAACAAAGUAUUGAGGAGAGGCUGUGAAUACUUAUGUACAUGUGAUUUCUUAGUUGUUGUUUUUUAAUAAAUUAGCAAAAAUCGAAAACA